AAGUCGUAACAAGGUAACCGUAGGUGAACCUGCGGUUGGAUCAUUAAAAAUAAGUUCAAAUUCUUGGAUUUCUGUUUAACAGUGCCAGAAUUUUAACCACAUCUUGUGAACCGUGUUUGUCUCUGGCGGAUGGGUAAAAUUCAUCUAUGAACUGGUUUUAUCUGUUAGUUUGGUUUAGGCCGAGCCGUGAACAACCCGCCAACCAAUUGAAUAAACUUAUUAUCAUUUUACAUCUAACAUUCUUUGUAUGAAUAUAUAAACAACUUUUGGCAACGGAUCUCUUGGCUCUC
rnacentral:misc_RNA from 1 species